rnacentral:rRNA from 1 species
GAUGAACGCUGGCGGCGUGCCUAAUACAUGCAAGUCGAGCGAACGGACGAGAAGCUUGCUUCUCUGAUGUUAGCGGCGGACGGGUGAGUAACACGUGGAUAACCUACCUAUAAGACUGGGAUAACUUCGGGAAACCGUAGCUAAUACCGGAUAAUAUUUUGAACCGCAUGGUUCAAAAGUGAAAGACGGUCUUGCUGUCACUUAUAGAUGGAUCCGCGCUGCAUUAGCUAGUUGGUAAGGUAACGGCUUACCAAGGCAACGAUGCAUAGCCGACCUGAGAGAGUGAUCGGCCACACUGGAACUGAGACACGGUCCAGACUCCUACGGGAGGCAGCAGUAGGGAAUCUUCCGCAAUGGGCGAAAGCCUGACGGAGCAACGCCGCGUGAGUGAUGAAGGUCUUCGGAUCGUAAAACUCUGUUAUUGGGGAAGAACAUAUGUGUAAGUAACUGUGCACAUCUUGACGGUACCUAAUCAGAAAGCCACGGCUAACUACGUG